GCUUCUCUAGUAUAAACAAGUACAAUUGACUUCCAAUCAAUAAGUCCUGGUAGAGCCCAGAGAGAAACA
rnacentral:tRNA from 1 species